GUAGUUCCCCUAUCCACGGUCAUUUUGGCGGCAGCAAGAAUCAACAUUGAUAUUUGUCUCUCCGGCGCAGGGUAAGAAACAGAACAGAGCAUAAUCCAGAAGCUACUUCCAUUUCACCAAACACCAUCAUCUUCAUCAUCAUUUUCUAUCUCUUCACUCAUGUCACUGUGAUUAUGGCUCUUGUACCCACUUGCCACCUCCACCCAUUCUUCGAUUCAUUUCACGCUUCUCCCAGCUUCCACUCUCUUCUCUUCCGCCACUCUCCCAAUUCCACUUUCCUCCGUCCCAAACCACCCUUCAUCUUUCGCUGCAACCCCGCCAAGAGUUUCUCCACCGAUAAACACUGGUUGAAGCGUUGGAACGACCCCACAAACAACCACGCCCGUCCGAAGCCGCCACGUGCGGUUUUGGGCUAUUCCGAAAAUGGGGACGCGUCAAAAUCCGGUCUUGCGAGCUCUGACGAGGAGGGGGGCGAUGGAAAUACCGGCGGAAUCACGUUGGAUAGGAUUGUGGAAAAAUUGAAGAAAUUUGGGUACGUUGAAGAUGGGAUUCAGAAUAAAGAGAGAGUGAUAGAAAAAGGGUCAGUGGAGGAUAUAUUUUAUGUGGAGGAAGGAAUGUUGCCUAAUUCACGAGGUGGGUUUUCAUCAGAAUCUCCAUUAGGGUUUGGAAGCUUUGGAAGUGAUGAUGGGGAAGUGAGGUUUCCGUGGGAGAAGCCAGUGGUUGAAGAGUUAGAAGAGAGGAAAUCCAUGAGGAGUAGGAGUAAGACCUCUCUGGCGGAAUUGACUCUUCCUGAGUCAGAAUUGAGGAGGCUUCUCAAAUUGACUUUUGAGAAGAAGCACAAGACCAGAAUUGGGAGGAGUGGGGUCACUCAGGCUGCUGUGGACAAGAUUUAUGAGAGGUGGAAGACUUCAGAGAUUGUGAGGCUAAAGUUCGAAGGCGAGGCCGCACUUAAUAUGAAGAGGAUGCAUGAGAUACUUGAGAGAAAAACUGGUGGUCUGGUGAUUUGGAGGUCUGGCAACUCUGUUUCCUUAUACAGGGGUGUGAGCUACGAGGCUCCUUCGGUACAACAGAAUAAAAAAAUAUAUAGGAAAAGCAAGAACUCUUCUAAGCUUUUACCAACACCUUCUUACUCUGUGGGGAAUUCUCCCAACGCUGCUUCUACUUCUGGGACAAGUGCACCAUUGGCAAAUUUAGAAUCUACAAAUGACAAUAAAGAAAAAGAUUAUCUGCCCAAAGUCAAUUAUGAACAUGAAGUAGACAAGUUAUUGGACGGUCUAGGCCCCAGAUACACAGAUUGGCCUGGAUGUAAUCCAUUGCCUGUCGAUGCAGAUAUGCUUCCUGCAACUGUUCCUGGUUACCAACCUCCCUUCAGAGUUCUUCCUUUUGGAGUGAGAGCGACACUUGGUUUAAGGGAGGCAACUUCUCUACGAAGGAUUGCAAGGACCCUUCCUCCACAUUUUGCAUUAGGUAGAAACCGACAGGUUCAAGGAUUAGCUGUAGCCAUGACUAAAUUAUGGGAAAUAAGUUCUAUUGCAAAGGUUGCACUCAAACGUGGUGUGCAGCUAACUACCAGUGAGAGAAUGGCAGAGGAGAUCAAGAAAUUGACAGGUGCUAUUCUACUCUCCAGAAAUAAAGACUUCUUGGUCUUCUUUAGGGGCAAGAAUUUUUUAUCAGCAGAUGUCACCCAAGCCUUGCUGGAGAGGGAAAGAAUGGCAAAAGUAAUGCAAGAUGAGGAGGAGCAAGCAAGAUUGAGAGCAUCAUCAUUGCUCAUACAGACUAAUAAUACAUCAGACCUGUCGGCAGAGGCAGGGACUCUUGGUGAAACUUUGGAGGCCGAUGCAAAGUGGGGGGAAACAUUGGAUGAGCGUCACAAGCAAAAAAUAAUGAGAGAAGUAGAACAACUAUGACAUGCCAACCUUGUUGAAAAAUUAGAACAGAAGCUUUCCUAUGCUGAAAGAAAGCUAAGGAGAGCUGAAAAGGCCUUAAUGAAGUUGGAGUCGUUUUUGAAGCCAUCAGAAUACAAAACAGAUCCUGAAAGUAUAACUGAUGAAGAGAGAUUUAUGUUUCGCAAAUUAGGAUUGAGGAUGAAAGCUUUCUUAUUUCUUGGUAGAUGUGGAGUUUUUGAUGGUACUAUUGAAAACAUGCACUUGCACUGGAAGUACUGGGAACUGGUCAAGAAAAUUGUGAAGGCUAAAACCUUUGAACGAGUAAAAAAAAUUGCACUAGCACUUGAAGCUGAGAGUGGAGGUGUUCUGGUCUCAGUUGACAAAGUUUCAAAAGGAUAUUCUGUAAUUGUUUAUCGGGGUAAGGAUUACCAACGUCCUUCAACAUUGAGACCCAAAAAUCUUUUGACAAAGAGAAAGGCUUUAGCACGUUCAAUCGAGCUUCAACGACAUGAGGCGCUCAUGAAUCAUAUUUCAACUUUGCAAAGUAAAGUGUGGAGGAUAAGAUCCUAAAUAGUAUGCUCUUAAUGAUCUUUAUAUUUUUAGCAUUUCUUAUUGCAAGCCAAGUUGUAUGUUUUAUGGAAACACCGUUUCCGAUCUUAUUUGGCUUGAAUCACUUUCCACAUGAACAAAUGGAGAAUGUAAAGGAUAAAGGAGAUGAAGCAUUGUAUGACAAAUUGGAUUCUGCCUAUCCUAGUGAUGAUGAGAACUAUGAGGUUGCUCUCUCUGCCAUAAUAACCCCGACCGUCUCCAAAAAAAACUUAUGAAACUGGUUUUCAUUAUAUACUUUUGUGUUAAUACCUUUAUGUAGGUGGAGGAUGGUGAGGAUGGUGAGGAGGGAGAUGAGGCCUAUCUCGAGACCCAUAACAGUGAAAAUGAUAGUGAAAUUGAAAGUGAAGUUGAGAGUGAUAAUAUGUAUCCUCCAAUCUUUUUGCCUCACCAAGUUGAAGGUCAAGGAUCAUUUGAUUUUGGGGAUACCUAAUGCCGAUGAGUCAUUAAUGGCACUCAACAUUGGAAGAAUAUAAUAGCUCCUUCAUAUCAAAUCACCAAGAAGAACAUGCUCGGUUCAAUGAUAUUGUCACAUGGCAUGCAAUUACAAUUUCUGAAAAAAAUGUAUGUAUAUACAUUUGUUUGAAAUUCUCUGGAAUUGAAUAAUUCCACGGGUCAAUUAAUAUGUGGUGGAGGGAUAGAUCGUGAUAGAUCGAAUGGUGCAACAUAUCAUUCAACAAUAUUGGCGGAUUUAUCUAUUUUCUGAAUGAUUUCACUCAAUUCUAUCUGAUUACUUUGCCUCGAAGGUGGCAAAACCAUGUCAUUCCAAAUAGAAACAAAUUCGAUAAUGGGGCUAGGUUCCUUGUGAAGUUCUUAGAUGGAAUCAGCUUCAGCAUUCAAACUGCCUACCCUUUCCAAGCAUUUGAUAGCUUUAGGGUCCACUGCUAGAUUGUGAUCACCAUCAUUCUUCCACAUAAGCUGCAAUGUAUUGCAAGCAAGUUAUCUUCAUCACAUUUUAAUACUGAUAGUGUAAAAUCAAGUAUUCCAGCACAAAGAGGGUGCAAAAUUGUUCA